CAAUCUCGUGCCCUCUUACCUUUUUUAUAUAGUGGGUUCAACUGUUCAUUCAUUUCCUCACUUUUGUUAGUGUUUUCCUAUUGGUUCUCCGUGAGGCUUAUUUGGCAACGAGAGGGAGAUGCACAUCGAUGGACUUCAGACACGUCAUGGAGUACGGAAGACAAAGUUGGUGGAUACCGUAUGUAGUCCGUAGUGAAAUCUCUACAAAGACUUGUACCAUAUGUGGUUCAUAGUGGAAUCUCUACAAAGACUUGUAUUUAGGAACGGAGGGAGUAGUUCUCUUUCUCUCUAUCUCUGGCGACAGACAGUGUUUGUCUUUUGUGAUUGGGAAGCCAAAUGUUGGGGAUGUUCUUUGCCUGCGAUUAGGUUCGUACCAUUGAUCUCCGGUGAGCCCAAUUGCCGACUGUUCUUUUUUGCGAAGCAA